CGAAUAUUUAAUUAAUCAUAUCAUUUUCGACAUAGAAAAUAAUGACUCAAAUCUUUGACAUUUGUUAUAAUCUAGGUUAUGUAGUAUAAUAUAUAGUCUGUGUCAUUUCAAAACUUUUCAAAACCAAAACAAACAUUUUGCUCAUAACUUGAUUAUAUCUUUAUUUAUCUAAAUACGAGAUUUCAAAGCUCCAAAUGGCUUUAAGCGGUCAAGUGGACUUUAAAAAAAGUUGUACCCCUAACCAACGGCAUUCUACUUGUCCUGUGUUUUAGUUUGGUUCCAAAACUAUCGAAAUGUCUCGCAACGCACUGCCUUCGUUGAGUCAGCUGGAAGAGCUAGUAAGCUUUUUGGAAAACAAACCAUGUUUGAUUAUGAUGGGCCCAUGAUCGUACUGCAAAUGCGAGCAGUCAUCAGGCACGAUCCGAAAACAACAGCCCCAAACAGUGACGUAGUGGGUGUAUGAAAAUAUUGGAGCUGUGGUAUAAGUACUGGAAGGACAAAAAGGAGCAGUGCAGAGGAAGUCCAGUUCAAUUGCAGCUGCGAGGCAACAUGAAGAAUUUGCCAGAACUCGGUGUAAUUGAGUUAAAAAUACAUUUCAUUAUGUGAGGAGAAUGUUUUGGAAUCUGAAUUUAGAUAAAUAAAUCCAUGUUCAUUAUAAAAUACAAAAUAAUAAAAAGACAUGUUGAAUUAAAA